UUAAGCGUAUAUUCUAACAAUUGGUAUCUGAGCCCAACUCUCUGAAAGACUUAACCGUUUGAGAGAAACAAUCCACGGCUUCUACUCGUGACUUUAAUGCAGGAAUAGGUGAAGGACAAUGCUCCACCAGACCACCACUGUUCGACGGUACAAACUAUACGUACUGGAAGGAGAGGAUGAGAAUAUUCAUCCAAUCGAAUAAUUUUCAUCUAUGGAAGGUUAUAACGAAGGGAG
rnacentral:lncRNA from 1 species